rnacentral:rRNA from 1 species
AUUGAACGCUGGCGGCAGGCCUAACACAUGCAAGUCGAGCGGAUGAAGGGAGCUUGCUCCUGGAUUCAGCGGCGGACGGGUGAGUAAUGCCUAGGAAUCUGCCUGGUAGUGGGGGAUAACGUCCGGAAACGGGCGCUAAUACCGCAUACGUCCUGAGGGAGAAAGUGGGGGAUCUUCGGACCUCACGCUAUCAGAUGAGCCUAGGUCGGAUUAGCUAGUUGGUGGGGUAAAGGCCUACCAAGGCGACGAUCCGUAACUGGUCUGAGAGGAUGAUCAGUCACACUGGAACUGAGACACGGUCCAGACUCCUACGGGAGGCAGCAGUGGGGAAUAUUGGACAAUGGGCGAAAGCCUGAUCCAGCCACGCCACGUGUGUGAAGAAGGUCUUCGGAUUGUAAAGCACUUUAAGUUGGGAGGAAGGGCAGUAAGUUAAUACCUUGCUGUUUUGACGUUACCAACAGAAUAAGCACCGGCUAACUUCGUG